rnacentral:lncRNA from 1 species
CGACAAGAUAACUGCCAAGAACUCCUGCCUCUUGUCCUUUUCUAUUGGACCUCUGGUGAAAAAGGAGAGAAUUUUACUCUUCUCUCAACAGCAAAUGUCUUUCUACAUCUCAGACUCAUGGGAUCACCUGCCUGGCUCCUAACUGGAACAGGAUGCUCUAAUUGGCCAAUCCCGAGUCACAUGCCGUGCCCUGGAGCCCAGAGUCUCUCUGCCUAAGAAAAAAAUCAUUGAUGUCCCCAGGGAAGAGCAAAUGCGCAUGAAUAGCCAACAAACAGUCCCCAGUACAUCAAUUUCACCCUGCCAUUCACUGGGCAGUCAGGAUGGGCAGCAGAUAGAAUAGGACAUGAGCGCAGUCAAGAGGCAGGUGAGUGCCACCCCGGGAAUGUACAACUCAAGGCUGCUAGGAAAAGACACAGGGACCCUAGGUUCAAGUGGCACAGGGUUUGCCAACAAGAGGAGAGAGAGCAUGCAUGACAUCUCCUUGGGCAAUGCUUUGGACCCCGAUGGCCAGCAGAUCUGUUCUGGAUCAGAUGUGGCUGCACACACCCCACUUGGUAGGCCUAGAAGCAGUCCUCUCUCACCCUCUGUGCAAGUCUGAGUUACAGAAGUGGGGGUGGCCUGUCGGAAGGCCAUUGAUACAUGCAUCUAAGCAGAACAAAGGCACACUCAGAGAAUCUAAAACAAGGUUUUUCUUCCCAGGAAAGAUGACAAGCCUAGCACAGGCUGUGCAUGCCUUUUGGUAAGGAAGUGUUCCUGGCCCAAGGCAUAUUCUGGCCAAGUGGGGGCAGAAAGAUGGCCCACACUUGCUCAAAUGAGACUGCUUUUCCCAGCACCAGGUUACACUGUGCAGAAAUGAAGUGAGAAAAUUAACAGAAGCAGGAUCAUAGAAGGCCAUCUGUGGCAGAAUAAGAGUGAGGACUUUGGGUACCAGUCUGUGGGGAAAUGGGGCAGCCCAGGAGGAGGCUAGUUAGAUCUGGGACUCUUGAGCCAGCACACCCGGGGUCAAUCUCAGCUCUGCUAUUUAGAGCUGUGUAACUUUAUCAAUUAACUUAAAAAACAAAUAAUUUAGCCUCUUUGUGUUCCAGCUUUCAUAUCUAUGAAAUGAAAGUGAUGAUAACAUGUCCUAGUGAAUACUGCCUGGUCCCUUGUAAUAAUGUUGCUACUUUAUUGGAGGGAAUUUAAGGACCAGCUGCAUACCUUCUAACUAGCUGGUGGCAGUUGGAUGAACUAGGCUAGCAUUUGAAGUUUUUGAGUCUCACUUUCUUCCUCUAUGAGAUUCAGUCAGAUGUAGGGUACAAUCUCCUCACUCUGAUGUUCUUUAUUUGUCAAUACAAUGUAACAACAGGCUUGCAAUUGAACUUUCACAUGGACCUCAGUCGGAAGGCAGGAAACUGACAAUCCAAGUGGAACCAAAGCUCUUUAAGCAGAAGAUCUCACCUCAUUGUCCACUGUAAUUCAUGAAAUACCACCUUCCCACGCUAGGAGCAAAUGCCCAUUUUUUUUUUUUUUCAAACAGAUGCGCACAAAGCUGUCAGAUGGCUACGAAUUUAUACAAACCAGGUCCUUCCUCAUCCCCUACCCGCAACUAUUUUGAGCAUUUCAAGCCAAAUGAAUUCUCCACGUCAGCAAAAUUUUACACAUGUUAUGCAAAAGCACACCACGGAAACACAGAGAAAAAGACAUAAAUAAUGCAAAUUGAGCAUCCAUCUUAGCCCUGGCCAGAUGAAGCGGGAGCGGGGGCUACAAUUAGCCAGUCUGGGCCUGACAAUGGUUAUUGUGGCAACAUAAUCUAUGGGAGGUGUCUGGUUAGACUGCACACUUGCAAAGCAGAAAUAUAUGCUUGAUAAAAGGGAAGGACAAAGAAAAAUUAUGAGGGGCGGAGAAACAAGGUAGGAGGAGAGAGAGAAACAGAAACUCAAAGACAAGUCAGAGGAUGUGCUCACAGAAGACCAGCCUUAGCUUUAAGCAAGGGCAAAAAAUGGCAGUAUUGCCCUUGAAAUACUGGCCAUGGGGUCUUGAUCAAGCUGUUUAUUCUGUUUGAGCCUCAAUGACAAAGAACUGUGAAUUAUAUGUGGAAAAUUGUCCGGAUGCAUCCCUUAGCAGAUGGGAAGACUGCGGUGGUAAAUGAAAUUAACAUGCUGCCUCGUGGAAAGUAUUCCUGUGCUUUCCCUCUGUGGUGCAUUCAGAGUACCAUGCCAGGAUCAUCGUGAACAAAAUGGUCAUUUAAAACAAACACCCCCUUUCUCUGCAGAACUAUUACACUAAUUCCCUUUUCCAAGAAAUUGCCAACUGGUUUGAAUUCUUGGAGAUUUGGGUUGGAGUAGUGAAAGAAGAAAGGAAACUUCUUCCCUCACUCACAGUCCACCCUGGCCACUCCGAAUUACAUCAUCCCCUCGAGAGGGUUCUGCACGGGGAGCAAAUGAGAAAUUCAACUGUCCUUGGAAUGAAGCCUGCUCACUUCUUCAGGGGACGGUGCUGGCCAAAAUUAGUAGUUUCUGCUGAAAUUACAAUGAAACUUUGAUCCCUUGGAGGGUUCCAAUGGAGAGACAGACGUUGGGCCCCAGGAACACCAAGUAGUCAGGGCAGCAACAAUCUGAAGACAGUGACCCUCACCAGCAGUGUGAUGGGAGGUGAUAACCAUGGGGGACCACUUUUCUCUGAGAAGCAGCUCUCUGGUGAGCUGACUGGGGUUUCCAUAAAGUCUGAAUUUUUGGAAACCAUCUCACUGGCCUUGUAUCUUGGGGGACUCAUAACCCAACAGAUGAAUACCCAACAUCAUGAUAGUCAUUAUAAUAUACAAACUAAUGGUAAUAGAAUGGGUUGCAAUCAUAAAUACAUGCAUAAUGAAAGCUAAUACAUAAUGCUUACUGUGUACCCAACAUGGUGUACUUUUAUACAUUUCACAUUCAAUUCUAGCAAGACUUUGAGGCACAUACUACUACCAGCUUUGUUCAAAUAGUGAUGAAACUGGUUCAGAGAAGGGAAGCAUAUCCAAGGUAUUGGGGUAGACUGACCACCAAAGUGACCAUAAUUCUUCAUUCUUCCCAGUUUCCACACUCUGCAAUAUGAUUCUGUAACUUUUGAAGGUCUGAGGGCUUGCUGUUGACUAAUAGAAUGAGGCCUUGCUGAUAGUGUCCCAGUUCUAUGCCUGGGUCUCAAGAGAGCACCUACACUUCUGCUCUUUCUCUUGGACCCCUACCAGGCUGCUAGAGGAUGAGAGGCCACGUGGAGCAGGCAUGAACUGUCCCAGUGGAGGUCAUAUUAGAUCAACCUGCUCCUGCAGGCACAUGAGAGAGUCCAGACAAGCUCAUCUGAUUGGCAGAAGUUCCAAACUAAUGUGCUGACCAGUGAGCCAUGAUAGAUAUUUACCAUUUCAAGCUACCAAGUUUUGGGAUGGUUGUUACAUAGCAGUGAAUACCUGAAAUAAUAACCUAGGUUAAGUUUCCUUACUCCAAGGCUCUUUGCCUUUUAACCUCCAGUUGCUCACAGCACAAUCCCACUUGUGCAUCUUGGUUGCCAGCACCAUAUGCUUGAUUCUACCUUUCUCUUUUCAGUUACAGGUUCUGGGAACAGACAUUUGUGGUUGCCCCCAUUCUUGUGACCCAUCUUGGCUCCUUGUGAUUGACUUCAGCCAUAAGUAGUGGCCGUAGGAUGGGAAGCAGUAUGACUGCAGGGUGGGGCGAGAGGAAGGAGACUUCUGGGAAGUGCCAGGAGCGUGACUAAGUGUGGUCAUUCAAAAAUCCAGGGAAGCAACAGAUGUUCUUGUGAUGCGUGGUCUCUGGGGCCUUCUCCCUCUGUUGGUCCCAGCUUUUCCUCCUCAUUCUCCUGGGCCCAGGAGGGAUGGAGUGUGUGCCUUUAUUUAGGGAUACCUCUCAAAAUAUUGAGCAACUGGCUCAGACGCAGACCAGUCAAAACCAAUGGCUGCUGUAGCACUGGGGCAGAGGUUUGGAGGCCCCAGUUUUUGGAUCAUGGGGAAGUUGGGGCAUAGUUGAUAGGGAAGAAGACUCUUGAGAAGGGCUUGGGUCAAAAAGAUUUCCCUUGGGUGCAACCACUUGGGGGCAGUCAGGACAGCGAGUGUUGGCUGAUGAGUUUUGACUUAUUUUCUAAACUUUAACAGCUUGUUAAGCCCCAUUGGGGUAUGCCAGACAGGACUCAGUGAAAAAAUGUAUCAUGUUCUGCAUGUUUCUGCCUGGCAGACCGAGUAGCCUAGAGCCCAGAGACACAGUGUGUAGUGGUGAGUACCCAGCACCCAGUACAGUCUGCCACACACCAGCUGUCUCAGUGAAGUUGGACAAUUUGAACACAAUAAUUUAAACCUUGAGACUCUUUUGUGUUUUCUAGUCCAGAUUCUGAAUGAUGAGGAAUCUGGUCCCAGCCAUUUUUCCCUUGAAACAAUUACUUCUUUACAGCAGAGUUAUGAAGAACUAAGGUGACCUCUGACGAUCAGAUCUGACCUCUUCUACCCUGAGAUGUAUCAAGAAUAAAUUGUUGCAUUGAGGAGAGCAGAUGGUGGAGGGGGCUGCAGGGAGAGAGCAGCCCCCUGGGUCUCAUAGGCCUUGGAGCAUACUCUGCCCCUCAACUGCUAGCCUCCAUCAUCAUUAGCAAUUCAACAGUUCUUAUUGGACUGAGAAAAGGGCACACCUCAUGCCGCUUACAAACCUUGGCCUGGGAACUCCUAAAUAUACCUGGAGUCCCAGGACUUGGUACUGUGGGGUCCUGGAAGGCACCAUUGUGUCCAUUUUCCCCAAACACCAAGCAGCCUCUGACCCACAGAAGGGACUCCAGGACCAUCUGCUGAGAGCACAGGUGAAGAAUGAAUGAAUGAAUGAAUGGUAACCUCCUUCCCAAGUAGUUGUUUUGAAAAGAACUUGGAAUGAACUUUGGAGUCAUAGUAAUUUGAGUUCAAAUCCUGGUUUUGUCAUUUAAUAGCUUUCGGUUUCUCAUGUACAAAUAUAAUAAAACCAACGGCAAAGACUCGCACUUGUGUGAAGUGCUCAGCAUAACACUCAUAAAUGCUUAAUAAAUUGUAAUUGCUCCUUUUCUGCUAUGUGUGUUUUAUUUUUCUUCAUUUUGUAUUUUUG